UCAACUUGAUCAACGAUUACUUCAACAAAUGAUGAAGUUUAUCCAGCUAGUUACAGUUUGGAUUAUUGUUCUUGAAUCUCUUUCCUACCCGUACUCCAAAAAAGAACAAAAUAGUUCUGAAAACUCUUUCAAUAUAACGAAUUCUCUGGAAGCUUCGAUAAUAAAUGGCUUUCCGACCUUCAAUAGAAGGUUUUUCGUACGAGUUCGGUUUCUUUACAGAGAUGAUUUUUGUGGUGGUGCAAUUAUUGGCAGGAAGUGGGUCAUUACUGCUGCACAUUGUGUUAUAAGGAUUGAACCCACUAGAAUUCUGGUGGAGAUUGGUGAUUAUUCACGAAUACUGGGCGAAAUGUUCUUCUAUUCUGUUCAAAAAUGGUUCAUUCCAUAUGGAUUUCAAAUGGAGCUGCAACCAAAACAGGAUAUUGCGCUGAUCAAGCUGACGCGUUCAAUCUUAG